CGCGGUCGGCCCACAGGCUGGGCACUAACGGGUCCCGGGGCGCCGGGGCGGACUGCGGCGGUCGUAGUGGACUAAUUUUACAGGCGAAGUUAAGUGACUUACCCAAAACCUCACAGCUAAUAAACGGCAGAGCCGGCACCCAGCUGUACUGGCUUCCAGCGCAUCCCAUUAUCUCCAUAAAUCCCCCUGAUUCAACUAAUAUUAGACGCCCCACAGAGAAUUCAAAGGGUUGUCAAGACAGCCAGACGGACAUGGACACUAAUAAGUUAGAAAUAAAGGUUUUGUAAUAUGGGAAAGAGGACUGAGCUAGAAAAUAGACUCAUAGAUAAUCAGCCUAGGAGUGAUAUUGCUGUGAGAUAAAAGAAGAAAACAAAGUCAGAAUCUUGGAAAACACCCUCUUCAGAGUCUCGCUGCUCAAAACGUGGUCAGUGGCCCAGCAGCACUGACAUGAGGACCUUAGUUGGAAACUCAGAAUCUCAGGCUCCACCCCAGACCUGCUGAACCAGCAUCUUCAACUUAACAAGAACCCGAAGAGAUUUGUGCCACAUCAAAAAGUUUGAGAAGCUCUGAUCUAGGUGAGCCAAGCCAGCAAAGAAAGGGGGUGGAGCAGAAAAUGGGAGGAGAAUAGGGUAAUGCAGAAUCAUCAAGACAAGGUAAAUUGGACUUUCACAAAAACGGGGCUGGAAGGAGUGUUGCUCAACAAUAUCCAAAACCACAGAGGUUGAAAAGCACAAGGAAAGAAGCUGGACCCUGGACACGGUGACUCUGAUUCAAUUAUGCAGAUGACCACAAGCCUCUGGGGUUGGCAGAGCCACAAGAAAGAAGGUGCCUGGAUGAAGGAGAGCUACCCACUGACCUGGACACCCAAUUAUUCAUCUGUCUUAGAGCUAUUGGAAUCCUGGAUCAUUGUGGGAAAUGAAAAGAACUGGUUUUUAGCAAGGAGACCAAGAAACUCUACUCCCUAGGGGCUAGCAAUGAGAGAAAGGAAGCCUUGAGUCUUUGAGCACAGGGUGACAGUUUGGGUCCUAUGUGAGAUGAUCAAAUCCACAGCAACAGAGGAAAGGACAAAAGGAAAAGAUACUUCGAUGGAAUCAGCAGCCAUUGAUCCAAUGCCAACUCCAAGACUGGAACGUCGCAAUGAUAGUUCCAAGGCGGAAAUUUGACGUAAUUCUUUUCGACACAGUUUUACAGGUCUGGAUGCCCAUUUUAAUUCUUCUGAAAGCAUGCCUCCUUCUGGCUUCAGGACUCCAUCUCCAGCCUUAUGAUCUAAAAAUAAUCCCCAAACCAAAAAAUUAGAUAUUAUUUCCUCAAAAUUAGGUGUUUUAAUCAAAACAUCUUAACAUAAAUACAUUAUUAUCACCCAAUAUGCAUAAUGUUGUUCAACUUUUUUGUUAAAUGACUUAUUUUAGAUGAACAGAUGUGUGAAUAUGAAUAUUUUUAUUUCACUUACAGGCAUCUUGCAUGUGAAUAACUCACAACUUUAAUUCAUGGAACAAAUUGAGAAAUAGUCUUUUGGGGGUUUGGUACUCCCUGGAAACAUAAGAGUGCUUUGGGCACCUCUGGUGCCUUUCCAUGCCUGCCUUCUCUGCUGUUCUUGCUACUAGUGAAUUCUAAAUCAUGGCCAAGUGAUGCCAGCACUGGAUAAUAUUGGCUCUGCCCCAUAUCUCGAGGGAAAACUCUGGGACUUGGCAUUAUAUGUGUGGGAAUCUGGCCUUGGUUGGCACUCCCAGCAUGAUAGCAGGGUUCUGCUGUCUGAAUGUACUCUGGGGUGUGCGCCACAAUUUCUGUCAUCGAAAUGGAGAUGAGAGAAUAUGCCCUUGGUGGGGACACCCCACUGGAAUUAGAGUGAAGAGAUCAAAGCUAGAGGUUCUUAAAUCAAAGAAUGUCUAAUAGCAAAGACAAAAACUUGCUUAAGAGAAAUGCAUACAGGUACUAGACCUAAUAUGAUGAAAAAUGCUAACUUCAACAUAUUGAUGCAUGCUUAGUAUACUUUUAGUCCUGCAAAGACAAAAGUUUUUUGUUUGUUUUUUUUUGAGACGGAGUCUCGCUCUGUCGCCCAGGUUGGAGUGCAGUGGUGUGAUCUCGGCUUACUGCAAGCUCUGCCUCCUGGGUUCACACCAUUCUCCUGCCUCAGCCUCCGGAGUAGCUGGGACUACAGGCGCCCGCCACCACGCCCGGCUAAUUUUUUGUAUUUUUAGUAGAGAUGGGGUUUCACCGUGUUAGCCAGGAUGGUCUCGAUCUCCUGACCUCAGGUGAUCCGCCUGCCUUGGCCUCCCAAAGUGCUGGGAUUACAGGCAUGAGCCACCGCACCUGGCCCAGUCCUGCCAAGACAAAGUUUUAAAACACAGGUUGCACAUUGGCAGCUCUCAAGCCAAAUCUGGCCCAUAGACAUGGUUUGCUUGGCCUAUAAUGUUAGUAAUACUUGACCCAAGAUUUAAAAUUUGAAAAGUUUCAUAUAAAAAUAUAGAUUUACAGCUUUUCUAGAAAAACUAUAAGAGUUAACAGUUUCUGAAUUGCAACAGCAGCUGGAACACCGUUGCCACUGACCAUUUAGAUGACUGCUGCAGUCCCCACGGCUCACUCUGGUUCAGGUAGGGGUUCUAGUUUGUAACCCCUGGUUUAAAACAUAACUGACUCUCUAGUUUUUAAAAUUCUCUCAAAAUCAAAUAACCUGAACUAGCAAAUGAUCUAGAUCCUCGUACAUGGAACUCAUACUAAGUUGACCACAGACAGUGGCUCCCAAACUCUGCAGUACAUCAGAGUCACUGGGAAGCUUUAAAAAAUCCUGCUCCCUAGCUGGGUGCAGUGGUUUAUGCCUGUAGCCCCAGCUACUUGAGAGGCUGAGGUGGGAGGAUUGCUCAAGCCCAGGAGUUUGAGGCUGCAGUGAGCCAUGAAUGUACCACUACACUCCAGCCUGGGCAACAGAGCAAGACCCCAACUCUAAAAAAAAAUCCUGCUCCCCAGGUGACAGUAUCUGGGGGAAGGAGUAAGGCAUCUUAUUUUCAAAAGAUCAUAAGAAAAGAGGCUCAUUGCUGAGGCUCACUCCGGAGCCCACUUGGAUUCUUCACAAGAAAGUUUCCCUCUUCCAGAAUUUUAUAAUUGAGGGAACCGACUAGGGAAAGAUUAAUUUGCCCAAGGUCAAACAACUAGUAAAAGAAGUAAGGAUUCCAACCCAGAUCUUUUGACUCUAUUAUCCUUACAUAUAGUUUUAUAGUGAUUUAAAUUGAUACAAGGAUAGGUUUAAAUACAAGUAGAAUGCAGGUUCAUAUAAAACUGAUUUUAUCCUCAUGUUAGAAAACAUAUACACUGUAACAGAGGGAUGACCAUCAAGUGACCAAGAUAUUUUAGUCAAAAGAUGAAUUUUUCUGCAAUUGGAGAAUGCCAAAAAUAUUCAAAGAAAAUAUAAGUCUUGUAGGCAGUCUUCUAUCAAAACCCACUGAACCGCUGGGCACGGUGGCUCAUGCCUGUAAUUCCAGCACUUUGGGAGGCCAAGGCUGGUGGAUCACCUGAGGUCAGGAGUUUGAGACCAGCCUGGCCGACAUGGUCUCUACUAAAAAUACAAAAAAUUAGCUGGGCCUGGUGGCGGCACCUGUAAUCCCAGCUACUGAGGAGGCUGAGGCAGGAGAAUUGUUUGAACCUUGGAGGUAGAGGCUGCAGUGAGCUGAGAUAGCACCACUGCACUCCAGCCUGGGUAACAAGAGUGAAACUCCAUUCAAAAACAAAAAACAAACAAAAAAAAAACAAUGCACCAAAUACUAAGUUAUUAACUAGGAUACUGAUUAUUAAGCAUGUAAAACAUUUUAUGGAACUCAGAGUUUGAUGUAAAUUGCUAUAUUUUAUAAUUCAAACAAACCUUGUUUCAUGUCAUUAUAUUAGAGUAGCAUUAUGAGACAGGAUAUAGUGUAAGCUAUAUCCCCAAUAUAAUUGCAACUGUAUAUUUUAAAGCAUGGGGAAAAUAUGAAAAGAAUUAUGCUCAAAUGUGGGUAGGAUUAUAACUGAUUUGUUUUCUUCAUUUUCAGAUUUUUCUAUAAUGACUAUACAUUAUUUUUAUAGUCAAAAAUAGAAGUAUUUUAAAUGUUUCUAGGUAGAAUAGCAAAUUAGCUGAAAUAGUAUCUCCAACGUUAUUAUCAAGACUAGACUCCUUGGGUAAAUUGGUCAGAACAGUGUUGUUCUCAUUUUACACCUCUCCAAGAUUAACUAUGUUUUAGAUUUGUGUGUGUGUUUGGUUAAAGAGCCAGGAUGAAGAUCCAGAGUUCUUAAACCUGUAUACCACCAUACUACAUUGUCAUUUUAAAGAAAUGUCUAGUAGACUCGGUGGCAUAAACAUGGGCCAUUUACAAACUAGAUGUCUAAUAUCAGAUACCUCAAAUUUGACAGUAGACUUUUUUUCAAAGCUAAAGUGGUCUUAUGUUGACUAUUUUGUUUCUUACUUGAUACUUGUUUACUUUUUAAUUUUUGGCAAGUAAUGUUUCAAGUUAAAGUUUUAGCUAUAUAUAGCAGGCAGUAUUUCAAGUAAAUGAGUUACAUCAGUAAACACCUCUGUAUUACUAAACUGAGAAUCAGAAAAUGUAAUCUCUUUGGCAGGAUUCGUAUGUUUGUAUCACGUCUUUAUCCUCAGGCAACUUUUAUCUUGGAAUACUGAACCAGCAGUCAGAAUAUGAGGGACAUUAGACUGUGUUAUAGUUACUGUUCUGUCCUUAAGUCACUUGCCUUCUCUAAGUGUCAGUUGCCUCAUCUGAAAAUGGAGUUAGCAGACCCCAGCCUAUCCUGAGUUUGAGGGCUAAAGGGAAUUAUUCUUGAAAAUGUCUAUACAUGAUAAAUGUCACAAAUAUAACUUAGCAUUUUUUUUUUGAGACAGAGUUUCGCUCUUGUGGCCCAGGUCGGGGUGCAAUGUCGUGAUCUCAGCUCACUGCAACCUCUGCCUCCCGGGUUCAAGCGAUUCUCCUGCCUCAGCCUCCUGAGUAGCUGGGAUUACAGGCAUGCACCACCACACCUGGCUAAUUUUGUAUUUUUUAAUAGAGACGGGGUUUCACCAUGUUGGUCAGGUUGGUCUCGAACUCCUACCCUCCGGUGAUCCACCCGCCUUGGCCUCCCAAAGUGCUGGGAUUACAGGCAUGAGCCACCGCACCUAGCCAAUUCUACUUCUAUUACAUUUUCAGCAUAUAUCACUUCAUUGCUCCUCCAUAUUAUUUUUCACUGGUCUUCUUACAUCUUGUGUGCCCAUAUUUAAGUAGUUUUCUUUCCAGGUAAAAAAUACAUGUGUGCCUAAAAGAUUUUAAAGUCAACUUUUCAUAAACCAUACCUAAAUUAUCAAAGUUAUUAGAAUUAUUAGAAAGUAUUAGCUAAUUCUUUUAUAAAAUGUAGACUUUAUUAUUUUAGAAAUAUUGAUUCCUCUCUAUUCAGCUAUCUUAAAGAGGGUAUAUUUUAAUCAUCGCAAUAUAUUACCUUCAUAGUAUUUUUUACUUUUGCAAAGUAUAUUUUGUCAUGUUAUUUCAUUUAGGAAUGCACUAAAUCUACAUAUCUACAUAUGAUUAUACAAGGAAACAUCUUUGUCUCAAAAAUGGGUUCUAUUACAUUUUUUAAUUUCCAGGGGUCAUGAUAUAUAAAAAGACCUGAUUUAUCUUAAAAAUACAUACUUUUAUUCUUACCUACCAUACAUCUUUUUUUGUGAUAAUCAGAAGGCUUAAUUUACUAUAAAAUAGGAAAACAACAGCUAUGUUAGAUUAUAUAGUUAAUUUAGGGAUUAAAUGAGUUAAGGUCUACAAGCCCCUGGCACAUGGCAGACAAUCAAUAAUUGAUCAUUUCCUUUGCAUCUAUAAAUUUGUUCAUUCACUUCUCAUGUGGUUCUACCUUAGACAACGAUUUUUGUUUACAGAGACAAAUAGAAGUAUCUAAUCCUAAAUAACCCAAUCAAUUGGUAAAGGCUACACUACAAAGCUGGCAUGACUUCACCAAAUGCUAGAGAAACAGUGUUAAGAGUGACAACACUAAAAGUCUUACACUCUGAUGAUGCUAGUUGCCGCCGAAUUGCUUCCCCUACCAGUUCCUUAAGUUUCUUCUUAUGAUCCCGGCUGGUUUUCUUAUAGAAAUAAAGAUCUUUUUCCAACUGCUGGAUUUUAUCUUCAUAUGUUUUGAAAGUUUCCAUAAUGCCUUCUCCAUCUUGUUCUAUACAACAAAAAUUUGCAUUUAAAAUCAGUUUUAAAUAAAUGAUGCAAAAUUAUGUUUUUGUUUGUUUCUUUGUCUUUUUGAAACGGAGUCUUGCACUGUCGCCCAGGCUAGAGUGCAGUGGCGUGAUAUGCUCGGCUCACUGUAAGCUCCGCCACCCAGGUUCACACCAUUCUCCUGCCUCCGCCUCCCAAGUAGCUGGGACUACAGGUGCCCAGCACCACGCCCGGCUAAUUUUUUUGUAUUUUUAGUAGAGACGAGGUUUCAUCAUGUUAGCCAGGAUGGUCUCGAUCUCCUGACCUCGUGAACUGCC
rnacentral:lncRNA from 1 species